UCUUUGGCUGUUGGGUAAUGUAUCAACAGAAACAAUUGAUAAAUAUGAUGACAGGAAGAUAAAUUGAUACGCAAUUGAUUAGAUAGGGACAUUAAAAAAGUAACAAACUGAGGAAAAACAAAAGUAAGGUAACCCAAAACCUAAUAAAAUGUGACAACUUGUGAAGCUUAUUCAAUGUUAUCUUUUUUCCAUAACAACCUAAUUCUUCAUUAUUUUUAAUACCUAAUUAUAUUUUUAGUAUUUCUUUUUCAUUUCUUAAGCAAUGCAAUUAUUUAGUAUCAACAAUAGUCCAUAAUUAAAACAUGUGCAUAAUUUAAUUUCCUUAUUUCCUGGUUGCAGGCUGAUUUACGCAGCCGAUAAACAUAAUUAUCAAAAAUGGUGAAGGAAAUUUCACACUUGAACGUUUAUUUUCCACUCAUAAGUGAAUCUCUGUGAAUUGAGUGAUUCUCUGAUCGAAUAUGGAUAUUGAUGGGUGUUUAUCGAAUCUGGAACAAAAUACAGAUGUUACCUUUUAUACUGGAAUCGACGAGCCGUCAUUGUUAUCACCUUUAAUGUCAUUACAGUCAUUACCCCACCUUGAUCCAAAUUAUGUUGAAAAUUAUUUAAACGACGAAGGUGGUAAAGCAUUGGAUGUGGGCCAGAUCAAGGAGUUUUCUCAAGCUAUUGAUGCUUAUUUUGCUUCAACCCAUAAUACAGAUGUAACUGGUCCACUGUCAAUCGAAGCUUCACCUUCAACCUCUCAAAGUUCACCUAGUAGUUCGUGUUUUAACAAAUGUUCUAAUUCAUACUGUAAAUCACCUUGCAUCAAUCCACGUUUCCACCUGUCGCGCAACUCAUCUCGUAAUUCAUCAUCAACACAAUUUAAACAUUUGUCAAAUUUUAAUCCAGACUAUCGUCAUGUAAGAAUAACCUGUCCCAAAUUCAAGAGUAAACUCACACUGGCUGAUGACAUUACAAAAGUGAAAGAACCAUGGAUAUCUCAUGUUGCUAAGCAAAUUUUAUCUGUAUAUUAUUCACCAUUGAGUUUAAAAUCCGAGUUCAUCUCAAACCAGACAAUGUUGGAUGCAUUUGAGUCUGUAGCAGUUCAAGAAGUAGCUCAAGCUUUCAAGACAACAGCCUUCGUCAAUCCUCAUAAUGAUAUUGGUUUCAUAGAAAGUAAUUUUUUCUCAGACCCAACUCCACCUGAGCUUGUUUCUACUUGUGAAAAGAUACGCGCUUACAGGAAACUACCCACCGAUGACAAAGUGACACUUAUUAAAAGUGCGUUUCUUGACUUCAAUGCAUUAAAAGGAGUAAUCGUCUUUGAUCCAGAAGUCGAUGGUUGGUUUUAUGGAGGGAAAGUUUGGUCAAGAAAAUACUUUUACGAAAUAAAUUCAGCGGUUAUCAGAAAAAUGGAUCAUAUCAUUGAAACCUUUCCUAAUUUGCUUCGAAGUGAUCUCAACGCUGUCGCUUUACUUUAUACAAUUGUCCUUUUCAAUCCUGAUUUGGUUAAAUUAAAGUUUCGAAACACAGUAAGCAAUAGGUAGCAUCAACAAUGAGUUAGUCCACAAUUGAAACAUGUGCAUAAUUUGACGUCCUUAUUGGUUGCAAGUUGAUUUACGAGGCCGAUAAACAUAAUCAUUGGAAAUGAUGAAAAACAUUUCAAUCUUCAACGUUUAUUUUCAACUCAUAAGUGAAUCUCUGUGAAUUGAGUGAUUCUCUGAUCGAAUAUGGAUAUUGAUGGGUGUUUAUCGAAUCUGGAACAAAAUACAGAUGUUACCUUUUAUACUGGAAUCGACGAGCCGUCAUUGUUAUCACCUUUAAUGUCAUUACAGUCAUUACCCCACCUUGAUCCAAAUUAUGUUGAAAAUUAUUUAAACGACGAAGGUGGUAAAGCAUUGGAUGUGGGCCAGAUCAAGGAGUUUUCUCAAGCUAUUGAUGCUUAUUUUGCUUCAACCCAUAAUACAGAUGUAACUGGUCCACUGUCAAUCGAAGCUUCACCUUCAACCUCUCAAAGUUCACCUAGUAGUUCGUGUUUUAACAAAUGUUGUAACACAUGUAAUCCAAGCUGUAACUCACCUUGUAAUAUACAUUUUAACUCGCCACGAAACUCAUCUCGUUAUUCAUCAUCAACGCAGUUGAAACAUUUGUCAAAUUUUAAUCCUGACUAUCGUCAUGUAAGAAUAGCCUGUCCCAAAUUCAAGAGUAAACUCACACUGGCUGAUGACAUUACAAAAGUGAAAGAACCAUGGAUACCUCAUGUUGCUAAGCAAAUUUUAUCUGUAUAUUAUCACCAUGAGUUUAAAAUCGGAAAUUCAUCUCAAACCAGACAAUGUGGAUGCAUUUGAGUCUGUAGCAGUUCAAGAAGUAGCUCAAGCUUUCAAGACGACAGCCUUCGUCAAUCCUCAUAAUGAUAUUGGUUUCAUAGAAAGUAAUUUUUUCUCAGACCCAACUCCACCUGAGCUUGUUUCUACUUGUGAAAAGAUACGCGCUUACAGGAAACUACCCACCGAUGACAAAGUGACACUUAUUAAAAGUGCGUUUCUUGACUUCAAUGCAUUAAAAGGAGUAAUCGUCUUUGAUCCAGAAGUCGAUGGUUGGUUUUAUGGAGGGAAAGUUUGGUCAAGAAAAUGGUUUUACGAAAUAAAUCCAGCGCAAACCAGAAGAUUGGAUCAUAUCAUUGAAACCUUUCCUAAUUUGCUUCGAAAUGAUCUAAAGGCUAUCGCCUUACUUUAUACAAUUGUCCUUUUCAAUCCUGAUUUGGUUAAAUUAAAGUUUCGAAACACAGUAAGGCUCGAGCGAUACACUUACACUUAUCUGCUUAAACGGUACCUGACCGCUUACUUUGGUUCCGAAUGUGAAGUUUCAGACACUCUUUAUCGUUUGAUGGUUAAAAUUGAUGAAAUUGUAAAACUUAGAAGAGGAACUGUGAAAAUUUUCGAUAGCUAUCAACCUGGUUGUUCAACAAUAAUGACAAAUCAUGUGGCUCACUUAGUUCAAUUCAAAAGCCUUUAAUAUUCUAGAAAUACAAGGUUUCUGCUGAAGUUAAGCUGUGAAUUGAAACAAACCUGAAGGGCACAUUAAUAUCAACAGUGCAAAUUGCAUUCAUCUCAGUCCGCAUCGCUUAAGCGCUAAAAAAGUUUUUUUCACUCAUGAACCUUCAAAAAUUUCUGCGUGGAGAUACAAAAAUAUUAAUAGAAAGGGAUUUUCGUUUAACUGUGAGAUUUAUAAACAUGUCGAUAGUAACUGGACUGGCAUGAACAUCAAAGAUGCUACAUGUUAGCCUGUAAAAAGGGUUAGCCCUUCUUCAUCUACACAAUAAUGGGCAGGUUCAUUCAAAUUUGUAACAAAAAUAAAACUCAACUUCAAAACCAAA